rnacentral:lncRNA from 1 species
UGCGUGUGUGUCACGAUGGUGUACGUGCGUGCCCGUGCAGUUGUGGCCAUGGCGAGUUGGUUAGUCCAGCGCGUAGUGCUUAGUCCAGGUGGUUAGUUGGUUAGCUAGCUUCAUGACGUGAUAGGAUAGUCAUGCAUGUAGUUAGUUAGCUCGAUAAGUUGUUAGCUGGCCGGAUAGACUCUAUGGUUAGUUAGCAUGCAUCACAAUAGGGGAGGUGGCGUGUGUGCCAGCCUAUAAAUAGAGGCCGGUCUGAGUUGGUUGGAUGUACGUGGUAUGUGCUAUAGUUUGAGCUGAGUAAAAAAAGAAGGGUCAUGCGUGCGGCCGAGGCACCGUUCGUGCGGCGUGGCGCCGUUCGUGUGGUGAGGCGUUUGUCGCCGGAAAUUCUUUUGUCAGUGUGCUCCUCUUCUUCUUCCACCUACGUACGUCCGAGUGAGAGAGAGGCUGGGGUUCGUCCGGCGUUCAUGUCGCCGGAGCCUACUCGGCGUUCGUCGCCGGACCUGGUUUGUCCCAACAAUUGGCAUCAGAGCCUUGUCGAUCCGCGGUGAGUCCGCGGCGAGCGUGGUGGCGCAGAGGUCGUGGUGGCGCGGCGAGGAAGCUGCAGAGGCGCGACACAGUGAGGCGACAUGGAGGCGCUGCACGUCGGCGGUGAGGCGCGCGGUGGCGUCGUUCCUCAUGCCAGACGCAUGCCGGCGGUGGUGGCGUUCGCCGGCGGCUGUGCGAUGGAGCUCUGGGCCGUGUGUCGGCCCAAGAAGAUGCGCGGUGCUGCGGCUGUCACCGGCAUGUGUCGCCAGAGUCGGAGGAGAUGGCAUAUGUCGCUGCAACCGGAGAUGAGGAAGACGGCGUAUGUCGCCAGAACGUCAGGCGUGUGUCACAGGCGGAAAAGGAGCUCGACGUGUGUCGCCGAGGAAGAGCAUGGAGGCUGCGUCAAGCGUGACGGAGGGUGUAGCGGCGGCCAUGACAACGACAACGACGGGAGUGGCAACAAACUCCAACGCUGAUGAGUCACGGUUUAAGGGGAGAAUGUUAGAAAUAAACCGUGAUGGGUAUGCACCCAGAGUACGUGUGUGCGUGUGUGUCACGAUGGUGUACGUGCGUGCCCGUGCAGUCGUGGCCAUGGCGAGUUGGUUAGUCCAGCGCGUAGUGCUUAGUCCAGGUGGUUAGUUGGUUAGCUAGCUUCAUGGCGUGAUAGGAUAGUCAUGCAUGUAGUUAGUUAGCUGGAUAAGUUGUUAGCUGGCCGGAUAGACUCCAUGGUAAGUUAGCAUGCAUCACAAUAGGGGAGGUGGCGUGUGUGCCAGCCUAUAAAUAGAGGCCGGUCUGAGUUGGUUGGAUGUAUGUGGUAUGUGCCAUAGUUUAAGCUGAGUAAAAAGAAGAGCCGUGCGUGCGGCCGAGGCACCAUUCCUGCGGCAUGGCGCCGUUCGUGCGGCGAGGCGUUUGUCGCCGGAAAUUCUUGUGUCAGUGUGCUCCUCUUCUUCUUCCACCUACGUACGUCCGAGUGAGAGAGAGGCUGGGGUUCGUCCGGCGUUCAUGUCGCCGGAGCCUACUCGGCGUUCGUCACCGGACCGGGUUUGUCCCAACAACCCAUACACAACAUCCCAGUUUCCAAC